UCGCGUCGUGGAAAGCACAAUCUGAGAAAGACGCGCUGGUUGAGUUAGUAAGUAAUAAUACCUCGCUCGCUCGCUCUCACUUUUGAGUUCACAUUCGGUUCUUAGCUAAAAAAGAAAUUCGAUUUCUUCUCAAAUCUAAUCUUCUAAUUGCAAAUUAAAUUGAUUGAAAUUAUGGCCUUCAACCAUUUUGAUUCUUGAUUCAGCUCACAACAAACCAUGAUAAGCGAAAGUUAAGAUGGAAGCAAGAUUUACAAGUUGAAAGAGAUUUAAGGAAGAUAAAUGUUGGGUCUUGCUUCGCUCAUUAUCAAUUGAGAGUGAGUGAGAGAUCUAAGUGUGAAUUUUGUUAAUUUGCAAAUGGAGUACAGGAAAAUCAAGGACGAGGAUAAAGAUGAGGGUGCUACUGGUGAUGACAUAGAAAGCUUAAGAAACAAAUCUCUUUCAGGUGUUGCUGCAAGUAAUGUGGCUGCAUUGGGAGGUGGCUCAAAUGACCGAUCCAAGUGGAAGCGCAAGAGCAUCGUUACCCUUGCAUUGACUUUUCUCACAAGUUCACAAGCAAUACUUAUUGUUUGGUCCAAGAGAGCUGGCAGAUACGAGUACAGUGUUACUACUGCAAAUUUCUUGGUGGAAACUCUGAAAUGUGUGCUGUCACUUGCAGCCUUAGCAAGAAUCUGGAAAAAUGAAGGUGUCACUGAAGAUAACAGGUUGAGUACGACUUUGGAUGAAGUUAGUGUCUAUCCCAUUCCAGCGGCACUUUACCUUGUCAAGAAUUUGCUUCAGUAUUAUAUCUUUGCCUAUGUGGAUGCUCCUGGUUAUCAGAUACUGAAGAACCUUAAUAUCAUUAGCACUGGUGUUUUGUAUCAAAUGAUACUUAAGAGAAAGUUAAGUGAGAUUCAAUGGGCAGCUUUCAUUCUAUUAUGUGCUGGAUGCACCACAGCACAAUUAAACCCUUCUUCUGAUCAUGUUCUUCAAACACCUUAUCAGGGUUGGAUAAUGGCCAUUGUAAUGGCACUUCUAAGUGGGUUUGCUGGUGUUUACACUGAGGCUAUAAUUAAAAAGCGCCCCUCAAGAAACAUUAAUGUGCAAAACUUCUGGUUGUAUGUCUUUGGGAUGAUCUUCAAUGCUGUUGCCAUUGUAAUUCAAGAUUUUGAUGCAGUCAUGAACAAGGGGUUCUUCCAUGGAUACUCAUUAAUCACAGUUCUCAUGAUUCUCAAUCAUGCACUCAGUGGCAUUGCUGUAUCCAUGGUGAUGAAGUAUGCAGACAAUAUCGUAAAGGUUUAUGCUACUUCAGUAGCAAUGCUUCUCACCGCAGUCGUCUCCGUUUUUCUUUUUGGUUUUCAUCUCUCCCUUGCUUUCUUCCUCGGCUCAACUGUUGUCUCUGUCUCAGUAUAUCUACACUCUAUUGGGAAGCUAACAAGACAACUGUAACAAUUUUUUUGGUGUGAUCUCUGCCAAAUCCAAUGUCUGAUGGUUGUGGGAAGGAUGGAUUGAUCAGUUUCAACAUUUUGAGACAGGUGAGUCCUAGUCCUAUGGAGAUUGACACUAGUUUUACAGACAAGGGUCAUAUGAAUAAGAUAGAGUUUGGCAUGCAGAUGGCCAGGCAUAUCAUUCUUAAGGCUGCAAAAGCAAUGUGGUUGUAUCUCCACUGUCACUCCAUGCCAUGUUGAAUAUGGUCGCUUCUGGCUCCAAGGGACGUACUCUGGAGCAAUUGCUUAGCUUUCUUGAAUCUGAUGGCAUUACCCACCUCACUGCUCAGUCUUCUCAGAUUAUGGAUCUUACAACUACUAUCCAAGAAUUUCUUGAGUCUGAAAAUGUUGAUGAUCUCAAUACUCAAUCUCUGCAAGCCAGAAGCAAUCCUUCUUUCCUUAAUGCGCUUGGAGGAUCCUUUCCAAGUAUUAACCGAGAAGAUUCCAUUCAUGGUCAUCAGAUUAUUGGACCAUUUGCAAACACAUUCGUAGCACCUGUUGUUAGAAUAAUAGUUGAUUUCUAUGUUUAAUUUUGAAUAAUUCAGUUAUAAUCUAAGUCAAAGUUAUCCUAGUUUUAGGAGUUUAGUUACAGAUAAUGUUUUAGUUUACGGUCCUAUUAUUAUGCUAUUUCUGUUAUGUAUUUGCCUAUUUAAUGGCUUUAAGUUUAGUGAAUAAAUGGGUAGAAAUAGAUUUUUCUUUCUCUUAAAUUUUCUGUCUUUUCUUACCUGUAGUUGGCAGUGGUAUUAGAGCCUGCAAAAAUGGCUUCUGAAAAAUAAUUUAUUGAGUGCUGGUCAGUUACAAGAAACGGGAUAUGUUAUCACUAUUAAAGAUGGUGCUUGUGAAAUUUAUGAUCCUGUUAGAUGUGCUAUUGCAGUUGUUUAUAUGAGUUCAAAUAGAUUGUUUCCUUUAGAAAUUGAGAAUAUUCAGUCUUGUUUGAUGGCUGAAAUAAAAGAUCCCUCAUGGUUAUGGCAUUUUUGUUAUGGCCACUUGAGUUUUGGUGGAUUAAUGACUCUACAACAAAAGAAUAUGGUGACUGGUCUUCCUUAAAUUAUAAAUCCUUCCCAAGUUUGUAAAGAAUGUAUUGUUGGCAAACAACAUCUUUCUCAAUUUCCAAAAGGGAAGUCAUGUAGAGCAAAGGAAGUCUUGGAACUGGUGCAUUCAAAUAUUUGCAAACUAAUAAAUCCAUCUUCGAAUGGAGGUAAAAGCUACUUAACUUCACUGACAAUUUUUCAAGAAAAACUUGGGUCUAUUUUUUGCAAGAAAAAUCAGAAGCUUUCUCUACAUUUAAAAGCUUCAAAGCCCAUAUUGAAAAUGAAGCAAGCAAAACCAUCAAAUCACUUCGUACAUAUCGUGGUGGUGAAUAUUGCUCAAAUGGAUUUGAAGUUUUUUGUGCAAAGCAUGGCAUUCGGAGAGAGCUUACAGUUGCCUAUACACCAUAACAAAAUGGUAAUUCAUAAAGGAAAAACAGAACCAUUCUAAAUAGGGUGAGAAGCUUGUUGGCAAGAGGAGCAGUUCCAAAGACUUUUUGGCCGGAAGCAGUUAACUGGAGCAUUCAUAUUUUAAACAGAAGUCCAACUUUUGCUGUUAAAAAUAUGACUCCAUAAGAGGCUUGGAGUGGAAGAAGACCAGCUAUAGAUCAUUUCCGAAUCUUCGAAUGCACUGCAUAUGUUCAUGUUCCAAAUGUAAAAAGGAAGAAACUUGAUGACAAGACUGAAAAAUGUGUCUUUCUUGGUGUAAGUGAAGCAUCUAAAGCAUUUAAAUUGUUCAAUUCAUUGAUAAAAAAUAUAGUGAUCAGCAGCA